UACGUAGGGUGCAAGCGUUGUUCGGAAUCAUUGGGCGUAAAGCGCGUGUAGGUGGCUAGUUAAGUCGAGUGUGAAAUCCCUGGGCUCAACCGAGGAAGUGCAUCCGAAACUAGCUGGCUAGAGGACGGUAGAGGAAGGUGGAAUUCCAAGUGUAGAGGUGAAAUUCGUAGAUAUUUGGAGGAAUACCGGCGGCGAAGGCGGCCUUCUGGGCCGUUCCUGACACUGAGACGCGAAAGCGUGGGGAGCAAACAGG
rnacentral:rRNA from 1 species